rnacentral:rRNA from 1 species
UGAGGGCGUAAUAAGAGCGUAUGGUGGAUGCCUUGACACAAAAUGGCGAUGAAGGACGUAGCGUAGCUGCGAAAAGCCCCGGGGAGGUGUGUAGCAACCUUUGAUCCGAGGAUAUCCGAAUGGGGAAACCCUUUGGCGUAAACCGCCAAAAGUCCCGAACUUGUUUCGGGACAGCAUACCCGCUGAAGUGAAACUUCUCAGUAAGCGGAGGAAAAGAGAAAAAUUUUAUUCCGUUAGUAGCGGCGAGCGAAACCGGAACAGCCCAAACUUGUAUAUGUUUCGCAAGAAAUGUACACAAGGGUUGUAAGGUAAGAACAUUUUAGAGAUAUGAAAUAGGAUCAAUAUAGUAUCCUAUUUCGUGUUUCUAAAAAGAGGUUAUAAAUUGAUUUGCUAGUUGAAUGGGAUGGAAAGCCCAACCAGAGCAGGUGAUAGUCCUAUAGACGAAAGCAAAUCAACCUCUGUUUUUAUUCUUAAGUACCCCGAGGCCAAUAAACCUUGAGGGAAUCCGCCAGUACUAUCUGGCAAGGCUAAAUACAUUUUGUGAUCGAUAGUGAACUAGUACCGUGAGGGAAAGGUGAAAAGCAGGCCGGGAGGCCGGUGAAAUAGUACCUGAAACCAUAUGCUUACAAGGACCUGAAGGCUGAUGUUCGCCGCAAGGCGGAAUGGCUAACAGGGUGCCUAUUGAAGAAUGAGCCAACGAGUUUACGUCUGUUGCAAGUCUAAGCCGCUUCGGCGGUGAAGGCAUAGGGAAACCGAGUGUUAAUAGCGCGUUAGCAGCGAGCGUAAGACCCGAAGCCAAGGCGAGCUUACCCUGUCCAGGAUGAACCCCGAGUAAAAUCGGGGGGAGGUCCGAACUGGUGGGUUGUGCAAAACCCUCGGAUGAGGUGGGGUAAGAAGUGAAAAGCUAAUCGAGCUUGGUAAUUGCUGGUUCUCUCCGAAAUAGUUUUAGGACUAGCGGUUGGAGAUCUGUAUACGGGGGUAGAGCUACUGGUUCGAGAUUAUAGGGCGAAAGCUCGAAUCUCGAGUCAAACUCCGAAUACCGUAUAUAUUGUCCAACUAGUCAGACUACGGGGGCAAAGCUCCGUGGUCGCGAGGGAAAAAGCCCAGAUCGUCGUCUAAGGCCCCCAAAUUUUUGUUAAGUGUUAAAGGUAGUUUUCAACCAUAGACAGAUAGGAGGUUGGCUUAGAGGUAGCCAUCCUUUAAAGAGUGUGUAACAACUCACUAUUCGACGGUCGGAAGCGCCGAAAAUGUAUCAGGGCUAAACAAAAUGCCGAAGACACGGAUUCUAGCGCAUCUCACUAAAGUGAGAUGCUUAAAUGUUCAAAUUUUAAAUUAUUAAUUUUAAAUUAAAUCAAAAUGACAAAAUGUUUAAAAAUUUGUUAAUUUGGUCAUUCAUUUAAAAUUGAAAAUUAGAAAUUGAAAAUUUCAGAGCACCGAACUUUAGUGAGGUGCGUUGGAGUGGUAGGAGAGCAUUCUUAAUGCUGCGAAGGAGGAUCCGCGAGGACCUCUGGAGCGUUAAGAAGAGAGAAUGUUGGUAUGAGUAAUCACAAACCCAAUGAGAAAUUGGGUCCCCGAAAAUCCAAGGUUUCCGUGGCAAUGGCAAUCAUCCACGGGUUAGGCGAUCCUAAGGCAAUGGCGAGAGCCGCAGCUGAUGGGAAGCCGGUUAAUAUUCCGGCCCGUCUAUAAACGCGCGAUGGAGAGACGGAGAAAAUAAGCUUGAGCGCCUUAAUGGUUUGGCGUCGCUGAGUUUAAGAAUUGGCAUCCAGGAAAAUCCGGGUGCUUGCCUUCAAUGGCGAAAUUCGCGGCUUGGCGUAAGGUCGGGUUUUACCCGGCUAAUUCAAGUGAAGAGACUUCCGAGAAAAACUUCUAAGUUUAGUUUGUAGACACCGUACCGUAAACCGACACAGGUGGGUGAGGCGAGAAGCCUCAGGGGAACGAGUGACUCUUCGUUAAGGAACUCGGCAAAAAAGCGGCCGUAAGUUCGCAAUAAGGCCUGCCCUUCGCAAGAAGGGCCGCAGCUAAAGUAUCUCUGGCGACUGUUUACCAAAAACACAGCUCCCUGCUAACUCGCAAGAGGAUGUAUAGGGGGUGACGCCUGACCGAUGCGAGAAGGUUAACGAUGCCGGUACUUCUAAAAGCAAUUUUGGGAGCGCUGAGUGUCCGAAGCCCUCGUCAAUGUCAGCGGUAACUAUAACCGUUCUAAGGUGAAUUAAAUUGCUUUAGUAAAAUUUGGCUAUAUGCUGGAACGUCUGUGGAUAAAAUCCUUCAGAGUCGGCAUUACUAUGGUAUAAUACGACCAUAGUGAAAAUAUGACCGAUGCAGAUAAUCAGCAGGAAAGGCUAGAAAUUAGUAAUUGGAUAACCGGUUUCACCGACGGUGAAGGAUGCUUCACUAUCUCUGUAAUCAAAAAUCCAACUACGAGAUUUAGGAAGCAGAUUUUUCCGGAAUUUGUUAUUACGCAAGGCGCGAAAAGUUUAUCCGCGCUAGAAAAAAUCAAAAAGUUUUUCAAUUGUGGAAGUAUCGUUUUAAACAAACGAUACGACAAUCACAAUGAACAUCUUUACAGAUAUUGCGUGAGAUCAAUUUCGGAAUUGCAUACUAAAAUAGUUCCUUUCUUCAAAAAUUUUCCACUCCGAACAUACAAGCGCAAUGACUUUCUUGUUUUCAAGAGAGUUGUGGCGAUGAUGGUCAGGAAAAAACAUUUGACCGAAUCGGGAUGGGAAAAGAUUCUUAAACUCGCAAGUUUAACGAAUCGGAAGAAAGUACGUUUCUAGAAUCCUCAGAGACUAUACGCCAAACCCGUUGCACGCAACGGUGAAGAUAUAGUCCGAACUGCAUAGCGAUAUGCAGAGAUAAGUAGAAAUACUUAUCCGAAAUUCAUGAUUCCUGCCUGCCGGCAGGCAGGCAUAAUUCUUGAUUCAUGAUUCUCGUAACACAUUUGAGCGCAAUUCCUUUUCGGGUAAGUUCCGAAGCGCACGAAUGGCGUAACGACUGGAGAACUGUCUCAACGAAGAGCUCGAUGAAAAUGCGAUUCCCGUGAAGACGCGGGAUACCCGUAGCAAGACGAAAAGACCCCGGGAGCUUUACUGUAGUUUGGUAUUGGCUUCAAAACUUAAAUGCGUAGCGUAGUGGUGAGGGGAUGAAAUCCGCCUUUUGGGGCGGAUGGACCCGACAAUGAAACAGCCAUCUUUUGAGUUUUGAAUUCUAACCUCGACGGCAAAAACGUCGCGGGACAGUGCCUGAUGGGCAGUUUUAAUGGGGCGUUAUCCUUAAGGUGGUCUACCGUUAGACCGUGUGGGGAUAACGAUAAACAAUUUGGCUAUAUGCUGGAACAUCCGUGUAUCUCUGAAGUACCGAGUACAUAUAAUCUAUAUGUCUGGUGAAAAUCUUAGAGUGGCACGUCAAGUCGACGGACAACCAGCAGGCAACCCAUCACAUCUACCAAGUUGCGAUGGAGAGUCCUCAACGACUAUACGCCAAACCCGAUUUAGAUAAUCGGAGAAGAUAUAGUCUGAUCUUUGCGGCGACGCAAAGUUCUCCAACAACGAUCGGAGAAAACCUAAACAAUGAAUAUAAAGAAAUUAGAAGAGUACAAAGAAGGAUUAAAAUUGACUGAUAAGCAGCGAGAAUUGCUUGUUGGGCUGGUUUUGGGAGAUGGUCAUCUAGAAACCCGGAAUGGCCGAACCUAUCGGCUGAAAGUUGAACAUUCGAUCAAGCAAAAAGAUUACGCUGAUUGGUUGUAUCAAAACUUUCGCGAAUGGGUUAAUCAACCUCCUAAGGCAAGAGUAAAAGAUUCCUUUGGUAAAAGCAUAACUAGUUAUGGAUUCACUACUUAUACCACUGGAUCCCUGCGGUUUUACGCGCAGCAGUUUUAUGCCGGUAAAAAGAAAAUUAUCCCGGUUAGGAUAGAAAAACUGUUGACGCCACAAGCUCUAGCGAUUUGGUUUAUGGACGAUGGGUCAUGGAAAUCUGAUCACCACAAGACGUACAUAAUUCACUCGCUUGGAUACAGUAAAAAUGAAUUAGUUCUUGUCACGAAAGUAUUGAAUAAAAAAUUCGGUAUUAACGCCGGCAUUCACAGACAAUACGACAAAUGGCGAAUCUAUAUCUAUAGCGAUUCUGCCGAAAAAUUCAGAAAACUUGUCGAGUCGUACGUUAUACCAUCAAUGAGAUACAAAUUAGGUUAACAAAGUGCCCAAAAAGUAACGGAGGAGUUUAUUAAGGUUGGCUUAGCCCGGAUGGAAAUCGGGCCGGACGUGUAAAGGCACAUGCCAGCUUAACUGCAAGACCGACAAGUCGCGCAGAUGCGAAAGCAGAACUUAGUGACCCGACGACACUUUAUAGAAAGGUCGGAGACAACGGAUAAAAGUUACCCCGGGGAUAACAGGCUAGUGAGAUCCGAGAGUUCCUAUCGACGAUCUCGCUCGGCACCUCGAUGUCGGCUCGCCCUAGCGCGGGGCUGGAGAAGGUCCCAAGCGUAUGGCUGUUCGCCAUUUAAAAGGGCACGUGAGCUGGGUUCAAUCUACGAAUGUAUGCGAAUACCGCGAAUAGAUUGGCGCAUGAACGGUUUGAAUCCGAGGACAAGACAUUAGUCACGGCGGCCAUAGAAAGUAAUUUCUAUGAUCCAUGCUAACUAAUAUCGGUGGAAUCCUAUGUGGACAACACCGAGGAAAUUUCGAUAUCUAUCGAAAGUCCGUAGAGACUAGACGUUAGCCUCCUUAUAGAAAUAAGGAUGAAGAUAUAGUCCAAUGCACGUAGUAAUACGUGGAAAACAUGCGUGAGACAGGUUGGUCUCUAUCUGUUACGGGCGUUGACACUUGAGGGGAGUCGUCCCUAGUAAACGACAAAUUGCUACUUCGCGAAGUAAUUCGCGAUGACAAUUCGGCUAAUAACGGUGGAAUCUUUGAAUGGUUUUGGUCCGUUGAUAACCAUCUAUUGCUGCGGUCCAGCGAUAUGUGGUACAAUUUACCUGCCUGCCGGCAGGCAGGCUUGAGGACCAGGAUUAUCAAAGACAAUACCGUGGGAAGUCAAUCUAAAGUUAAUUUAGCUUAUAUCGCCGGUUUUUUAGACGGCGAUGGCAGUCUGAUGCUUCAAAUUAAGAAGCGUAAAGACGGUAAAUCAAAGCGACGGUUCAUGUGCACUAUCUGUUUCUAUCAGGAUAGCCGCCACGAGAAGCCGCUUUACUGGAUUAGGAGAAUUCUUGGCAUCGGCUACUUAUCGCGUCGCAAUGAUGGGAUGAGUGAGUUGAGAAUAAAUGGCUUUAAGCAAGUCCGGGAUAUUAUUAAGGAUUUGUUGCCGUUUAUCAGAUUCAAGAAAGAACAGGCGAAAUCAUUGCUUAAGGCGGCCGAUCUUUUAACAAAGAAGAGCGGCAAUCUAAGCAAAAACGACCUGUUUAAACUAGUGGAUUGCAUAGUUGUUAUUCAAAAAAACAAUUACGCGACCAAGAAAAAGAAAACCAGAAAAGAUUUGCUAAAGAUUUUAGAUUUGACCCCGUAACGACUUGUUCCCGCCAACGCGGGACGGAGUUAGAAAAUGCGACGUUAUUAUUUUCUAGCUAAUACGCCGACCUCCUAAUUCGUUUAAAGCGAAUGGAGGAAGAUAUAGUCUACACACAUAGUGAUAUGUGAUUAUGUGACGAGAGGACCGGGAUGAACAUACCUCUGGUCUACCAGCUUUGGUACCAACUGAAGCGCUGGGUAGCUAUGUAUGGAAGGGAUAAGCGCUGAAAGCAUCUAAGCACGAAGCCUACCCCAAGAUUAGGUGUCUGUCCGGUGCAAAUCGGACAGCGGUUCGUAGAAGACUACUACGUUGAUAGGCUCUAGGUGUAAGCAUCGUAAGGUGUUUAGCCGAGGAGUACUAAUAAACCGUCUGCGCCCUCAAC